UGGGAGCCUGGUGGGAGCCAGAGGUGCUAGUGGAGGGAGGGAGUGGUGGCCUAGAACGGAUCCAGGGAACUGUACAUGGCAGAGCAGGGUGCCUUGAGAAAGGACCUUCCCGUCAGGGGACACACAGGCAGUUGGACACAGGAUGAUUUUAACGUUAACCACCAUUAAACAAACAAGAACUCCAUUAGGGUGGAUGGAGAGGAAGAGACUAAGGAUUCACACAUCACGAAGACAUUUGUGGAAGACGGAGUGUGUUUCCAUUAUCCUUUCAGAGUUUGCAAACGAGGCGGUGCCCAGCAUAGACAGGUUCUCUGCCCACCCAUCCUGAAUCCACAAGGCCACAGAUGCAGAAAGGAUAUUUAAUAAAGUUCAACACUGAGUCCUGACAAACACUGCAAGAAAGCUCAAACGGAAAGGAAGUUCCUUACUGUGAUUGAGAAUAUAUCAUACUUCUGGUAUGCUACUGAAAGCUUCUGAGGUUGGGGAUAAGACAAGGGCUCUGUCUGUCACCAUUUCUCUUGAACCUUACAAUGGAAUUUGGCACUAUGGGAGUUGCAAAUCAACACAGUGGCCACUCAAGGAGAAGCAAGGGGUGGCUGGAAGGAGAGGUGCCCCUGGAGUUCUGUAAAAUCUGCUUCUUGAUGUGCCUUUGAGUGUUCUCUUUGUGUAAAUUCUUUGAACUGCACUCUUAUGAUUUGUGCAUAUUUCCCUAUGAAAAUUAUACCUCAAUAAAAUAUUGACUUAAAUAACA
rnacentral:lncRNA from 1 species